rnacentral:rRNA from 1 species
GACGAACGCUGGCGGCGUGCUUAACACAUGCAAGUCGAACGAUGAACCCGGAGCUUGCUCCGGUGGAUUAGUGGAGAACGGGUGAAUAACACGUGAGUAACCUGCCCUUGACUCUGGGAUAACUGCGGGAAACUGUAGCUAAUACCGGAUACGGUCCUCGGCGGCAUCGCCAGGGGGUGGAAAGAAUUUAGGUGAAGGAUGGGCUCGCGGCGUAUCAGGUAGUUGGUGAGGUACCGGAUCACCAAGGCGACGACGGGUAGCCGGCCUGAGAGGGCGACCGGCCACACUGGGACUGAGACACGGCCCAGACUCCUACGGGAGGCAGCAGUGGGGAAUAUUGCACAAUGGGCGCAAGCCUGAUGCAGCAACGCCGCGUGAGGGAUGACGGCCUUCGGGUUGUAAACCUCUUUUAGUAGGGAAGAAGCGAAAGUGACGGUACCUGCAGAAAAAGCACCGGCUAACUACGUGCCAGCAGCCGCAGUAA